rnacentral:piRNA from 1 species
UGACCAUUUCCUCAGUCACUUUAAGGUGU